UCGACAAAAUACACUUUCGUACAGGCAACCAUAUUAGAGAAUUGUAAGAAAAGAAAUGAAUCCAAUAGAAGAAGAAGCAAUGGAAGUUGAUGGUGCUACAGAUGAACCACAACCUAUGGAAGUUGGUCGAGAGGAAGUCGACCAACUCGCCCACCCUCAUGAAGAAAAACAGCCAGACAAGAAAGGGCUAGACUUCCAGAACAUGCCUCCAUGGAAUAAACAGCAAGAGAGUUUCCUGCAAACAACACAUCAGCAUCAUGAAAUGUGGUUGUUGUAUUACAAUGACCUGAUAGCAAGGUAUGGGCCUUCUAUCAACGGACAGUAUCUGCGUCCAUGGAAUUCAACAGAGCAGGUCUUCCUGCAAACGCAACAUCAGUUCCAUGACAUGAUGAUGCAUUACAUCAAACUAACAGCUAGGGAAGGGCCUGAUGCCAACCCAAUUGCUUGCCCACAAUGUGCACAGCAAUUUGUACUCAACAAUCCCAAUGGUCUUUCUGGUAUCCUGUUAGCGGAUGUCACUGAAGCCCUGGGUGCCAUCAAUUCUGGCAUUUUGAUUCGCAUGAUUGAUGACACCACCAUGAUGUAAACAUGGUUUAGUUACUUUCAAAAAAAC